rnacentral:rRNA from 1 species
GACGAACGCUGGCGGCGUGCUUAACACAUGCAAGUCGAACGACGUGGCGAAUGGGUGAGUAAUACGUGGGUAACUUGCACUCUUUUUUGGGAUCCGCCUUGGGAACGUGGUAUAAUACCGAUUAUAGGGGGGUGGGCUCUCGGCCUAUCAGGGUGUUGGUGGGGUGAUGGACGACCAAGGGGGUGUCGGGUAGCCGGCCUGCCAGGGUGACGGGCAACAGUGGGACGUGGAUACGGCCCAGACUCCUACGGGUGGAAGCAGUGGGGGAUAUGGCACAAUGGUCGAAAGCCUGAUGCAGCGACGCCGCGUGGGGGAUGAAGGCUUUCGGGUUGUAAACCUCUUUCGCUAGCGAACGGGUAGGUGGAGAAGAAGCGCCGGCUAACUACGUGCCAGCAGCCGCGGUAAUUC